CUAAAAUUUUUGGCGCCGUUAGGCUGCCAAUUUUUUCGUCGCACGUCGUCCUCCGCCGCCGCCCGCCUGCGCCAUUGCCCUCUGACCAUCGCCCUUCGCCGCCAUCCUCCGCGCGCGCCGACCUUCGACCUCCAGCCCCUGCCGCCAGCCCAUCCACCGUCGCCGGCCUCCACCGCGUGCGAGCUGGGGGGAGGAGGAGGCGGCGGCGAGCCAGGCGCUUCAAAUCCGCCAAGGCCGCCAUGGAAGCGGAGACGGAGGAGAAGAUCCUGAGGGAGAGGUUCAGACUGGAAGGGAAGGAGGUGCUGCGCGGGAGCCAUCGUCGUCUCGUGAUCCCAACGUUAUCACGCCGGGACGGAGUUCAUGGAGAAGCUGUCGCGGGCGCUCAAGUACUACGUCCGUGCCCGUCUCACCAGUGACCCACUCUGGAGCAACAUCAAGCAACAGAAGCCGUAGCCGGUAGCCACAGCGGUGAUGGAGUGCUGACGCACCGGGGAGAGGCGGCCAAGGUGUGCCGCGUCGGCGUCUCACCAAUGGACAUCAAUGUGCUCGGCUUUCGGUGUUCCAAGAAGGAGAAAGGGCGACGGUGAAGAAGGCGACAAAAAAUACGUUCCCCCUAAAAAAGGGAAACGGCGCCACGACGAUCAAAACGGUAGCCGAAGAUAAAAGAUCCUCUAAAGACGACGAAGUCCCAGUUGACAUAACCGGCUCCAAGAAAAACGAAUAGUCAGCAAAGGCGAAGAAAAGGAAGGGCGAGAGAAGCGUGAAUAGAAAGGAUGAAGGGUCCCAUGUUGUUACACAUGUAUUUGAAGUAACAAUCUACAAAAAUAUUAUAAUAUAUAUAUUUUGGCAACACUUUUGAGUUAUGCAAUAUAUGUAAAUUUCUC